CGUAGGUGGCGAGCGUUGUCCGGAAUUACUGGGUGUAAAGGGCGUGUAGGCGGGAAUGCAAGUCAGAUGUGAAAUGCCGAGGCUUAACCUCGGAGCUGCAUCUGAAACUGUGUUUCUUGAGUGUCGGAGAGGAAAGUGGAAUUCCCAGUGUAGCGGUGAAAUGCGUAGAUAUUGGGAGGAACACCAGUGGCGAAGGCGACUUUCUGGACGAUAACUGACGCUGAGGCGCGAAAGCGUGGGGAGCAAACAGGAUUAGAUACCCUGGUAGUCCACGCCGUAAACGAUGGAUACUAGGUGUAGGAGGUAUCGACCCCUUCUGUGCCGCAGUUAACACAAUAAGUAUCCCACCUGGGGAGUACGGCCGCAAGGUUGA
rnacentral:rRNA from 1 species